rnacentral:misc_RNA from 1 species
UCUCCGUUGGUGAACCAGCGGAGGGAUCAUUACAGAGUUGCAAAACUCCCAAACCAUUGUGAACGUUACCUAUCCCGUUGCUUCGGCGGGCGGCCCGGGCCCCGCGCCCGGCGCCCCCCGGCCCCCCGUGGGCGCCCGCCGGAGGUAAACCAAACCCUUGAAUUGCAUGGCCUCUCUGAGUCUUCUGUACUGAAUAAGCCAAAACUUUCAACAACGGAUCUCUUGGUUCUG